GCCAAAUAUAGCAGGCUCAUUUCUAAUUUGAUAAUUUUGCAUGGCCUGGGAAUGAUGUUAUGCAUAUCCAAGUGGCCCUUGACAGAAAACAGGUUUCCCACCCCAGGUCUGGAUAGACCAGUUCCAAAAAAGAGAAUCCUGUACAAUGCUGCAGGCAGACCUUCAUCUCUCAGUACAUUAAUGGAAAGCACCCACGCUUAGGACCUCAUCUGAGAUCAACAGGCCCCUGGGAACUCAGAGUCAGGCUUCAGGUUAACCCCUGAAUCUGUGCCUCCAGAACAUUUUUCUGUAGAGAAGUAUUACAUGGAGCCAGGCCAGAGUAUAAAAAAGUGAAAUAGGUCAGGUGGGAGAACCCUGCCACACUUGCCUAUUAAGUAUGCUUCACUUCCGCAGAGAAAUAACUUCUUUCCAUUUGUCUUGAAAUAUGCAGUCUUUGGGUCUAUCUUUUAUUUCCUCGCUUCUGGUAGAGACUUCCCCACCUAGGGAAAACAACAAUGCAAGGGUCACAGCCCAUGGCAAGGAGUGCUCGGUGUUGGGGAGACCACAGAGGAUGGCGAGGGCUGUGGUGCCUGCACCUUCCCAAGCGGCAGCCAUCACUCUGCUGCAACUGGUCACAGCCUUGAGGGAGGGGACCCAGUGUUGAGAGAUCUUAGGAUCUCCUUGGUGGUGAAAUCUCCAGAACUUUAGAAUCCCGGCAUACUAACCAAAGCACUCUGGGGUGGGGAUGGGGGGUCACAUAUAACCCAUAGGCAUGUGGUUUGUGAGCUCUGGUCUAUAGAUUUUACCAGAAUUUCUAAGAGAUAUGUGACUUAACAUUAACAACCACUGUUCUAUUGUAGAAUAUGAUUUACCUCAAAGUCUAAGGGAGGAAAGACCAAGGGCAUGACCAUCUCCCAGGUUCCUGGGUCCCAAAAGUCUAGGGGAAAGCCAUCUGCCUGGCUCCUCCCCCAUCCCUAACCCAGAGCAUAGAAGCCAGUGGUGUGGGCUCCUCUUCCCCCUCCUUUGUCCACUGGUGAGUGUCCUGCAUGAUGGAGAGGGAGCAAGAAGGACAUUGUAAAAGGGAAUUGGUACUGAGAAGCACAGAGGAAAAGUAAGUGAUGCUCAUUAAAUAGAAGGUAUCUCUCUUCUUUGUCUUCUCAAUUCUCCAUUCUACCCCCUUCCCAUGGGUCCCUCCACAUCCAACCCACUACACCCCAAGACAUUUCUAUGUCUUUGGUUGCAAGGCAUAGAAAUCCAAAUCAAACCUGGCUGGGAAAAAAUAA